ACCAGUGUGGUGUAGUGGUUUGAGUGUUGGACUAUGACUCUGGAGAUCAGGGUUCAAUUCCCUGCUCUAGCA